rnacentral:rRNA from 1 species
AGAGAGAGACAUGCGCGCAUAUCAAUAAGCGGAGGAAAAGAAACUAACAAGGAUUCCCUUAGUAACGGCGAGUGAAGCGGGAAGAGCUCAAAUUUGAAAUCUUCAAGGUUUUACCUUGACGAAUUGUAGUUUAAAGAAGUGUUUUCUGCUGAAGUUUUGGUAAAAGUUCUUUGGAAUAGGACAUCAUAGAGGGUGAGAAUCCCGUAUUUGACCAUUAUUUUCAGCUUUGUGAUACACUUUCAAAGAGUCGGAUUGUUUGGGAAUGCAGUCCAAAAUGGGUGGUAAAUUUCAUCUAAAGCUAAAUAUUGGCGAGAGACCGAUAGCGAACAAGUACCGUGAGGGAAAGAUGAAAAGAACUUUGAAAAGAGAGUUAAACAGUACGUGAAAUUGUCAAAGAGGGAAGCGUUUGACACCAGUGUUGUUUUCUCGAAAAUCAAUUAAAAAUGGCUCGAUUUUGUAUUGUUGAGACCUUAAAAGCUCACUGUACAUUUUUCGUGUCUUUUUUAAUGCACUUUUCGUUUAACAAGUCAACAUCAGUUUCUUUUGUUGUAAAAGGGUCAUUGGAAGGUGGCUUUCUUUUCGGAGAAAGUGUUUAUAGCCUUUGGCCUCUGCAAUCGGAGAGACUGAGGUCUGCAGCGUAGACUCUUCGGGGUUAGAUACAUUUGUGCUAAGUUAUAGCUUUUUAUAGACAACUUGUUGACUAUAAUUAGUCUUGUAGCUUACUCGCUUAUGCUAUUUUACCUACGCUUAGGAUGUUGAGUCGUAGAGCACGCAG